ACGGGUGAGUAAUAUAUCGGAACGUGCCCAGUAGCGGGGGAUAACUACUCGAAAGAGUGGCUAAUACCGCAUACGCCUACGGGGGAAAGGGGGGGAUCGCAAGACCUCUCACUAUUGGAGCGGCCGAUAUCGGAUUAGCUAGUUGGUGGGGUAAAGGCUCACCAAGCAACGAUCCGUAGCUGGUUUGAGAGGACGACCAGCCACACUGGGACUGAGACACGGCCCAGACUCCUACGGGAGGCAGCAGUGGGGAUUUUGGACAAUGGGGGAAACCCUGAUCCAGCCAUCCCGCGUGUAUGAUGAAGGCCUUCGGGUUGUAAAGUACUUUUGGCAGAGAAGAAAGGUAUCCCCUAAUACGGGAUACUGCUGACGGUAUCUGCAGAAUAAGCACCGGCUAACUACGUGCCAGCAGCCGCGGUGAUACGUAGGUGCAAGCGUUAAUCGGAAUUACUGGGCGUAAAGCGUGUGUAGGCGGUUCGGAAAGAAAGAUGUGAAAUCCCAGGGCUCAACCUUGGAAUGCAUUUUUAACUGCCGAGCUAGAGUAUGUCAGAGGGGGGUAGAAUUCCACGUGUAGCAGUGAAAUGCGUAGAUAUGUGGAGGAAUACGAUGGCGAAGGCAGCCCCCCUGGGAUAAUACUGACGCUCAGACACGAAAGCGUGGGGAGCAAACAGGAUUAGAUACCCUGGUAGUCCAGCCCUAAACGAUGUCAACUAGCUGUUGGGGCCGUUAGGCCUUAGUAGCGCAGCUAACGCGUGAAGUAGACCGCCUGGGGAGUACGGUCCAAGAUUAAAACUCAAAGGAAUUGACGGGGACCCGCACAAGCGGUGGAUGAUGUGGAUUAAUUCGAGGCAACGCGAAAAACCUUACCUCCCUUGACAUGUCUGGAAAGCCGAAGAGAUUUGGCCGUGCUCGCAAGAGAACCGGAACACAGGUGCUGCAUGGCUGUCGUCAGCUCGUUCGUGAGAUGUUGGGUUAAGUCCCGCAACGAGCGCAACCCUUGUCAUUAGUUGCUACGCAAGAGCACUCUAAUGAGACUGCCGGUGACAACCGGAGGAAGGUGGGGAUGACGUCAAGUCCUCAUGGCCCUUAUGGGUAGGGCUUCACACGUCAUACAAUGGUCGGGACAGAGGGUCCCAACCCGCGAGGGGGAGCCAAUCUCAGAAACCCGAUCGUAGUCCGGAUCGCAGUCUGCAACUCGACUGCGUGAAGUCGGAAUCGCUAUAAUCGCGGAUCAGAAUGUCGCGGUGAAUACGUUCCCGGGUCUUGUACACACCGCCCGUCA
rnacentral:rRNA from 1 species